GUGGCUGUAGUUCAGUUGGUUAGAGCACCGGAUUGUGAUUCCGGUUGUCGUGGGUUCGAGUCCCAUCAGCCACCCA
rnacentral:tRNA from 1 species